rnacentral:rRNA from 1 species
UACAGAGGGUGCGAGCGUUAAUCGGAAUUACUGGGCGUAAAGCGCGCGUAGGCGGCUUUUCAAGUCGAUUGUGAAAUCCCCGGGCUUAACCUGGGAACUGCAGUCGAGACUGUCUAGCUAGAGUAUGGGAGAGGUAAGUGGAAUUUCAGGUGUAGCGGUGAAAUGCGUAGAUAUCUGAAGGAACAUCAGUGGCGAAAGCGACUUCCUGGACCAAUACUGACGCUCAUGUGCGAAAGCGUGGGGAGCAAACAGG